rnacentral:rRNA from 1 species
AGAGUUUGAUCAUGGCUCAGAUUGAACGCUGGCGGCAGGCCUAACACAUGCAAGUCGAGCGGUAGCACAGAGAGCUUGCUCUCGGGUGACGAGCGGCGGACGGGUGAGUAAUGUCUGGGAAACUGCCUGAUGGAGGGGGAUAACUACUGGAAACGGUAGCUAAUACCGCAUAAUGUCGCAAGACCAAAGUGGGGGACCUUCGGGCCUCAUGCCAUCAGAUGUGCCCAGAUGGGAUUAGCUAGUAGGUGGGGUAACGGCUCACCUAGGCGACGAUCCCUAGCUGGUCUGAGAGGAUGACCAGCCACACUGGAACUGAGACACGGUCCAGACUCCUACGGGAGGCAGCAGUGGGGAAUAUUGCACAAUGGGCGCAAGCCUGAUGCAGCCAUGCCGCGUGUGUGAAGAAGGCCUUCGGGUUGUAAAGCACUUUCAGCGGGGAGGAAGGCGUUAAGGUUAAUAACCUUGGCGAUUGACGUUACCCGCAGAAGAAGCACCGGCUAACUCCGUGCCAGCAGCCGCGGUAAUACGGAGGGUGCAAGCGUUAAUCGGAAUUACUGGGCGUAAAGCGCACGCAGGCGGUCUGUCAAGUCGGAUGUGAAAUCCCCGGGCUCAACCUGGGAACUGCAUUCGAAACUGGCAGGCUAGAGUCUUGUAGAGGGGGGUAGAAUUCCAGGUGUAGCGGUGAAAUGCGUAGAGAUCUGGAGGAAUACCGGUGGCGAAGGCGGCCCCCUGGACAAAGACUGACGCUCAGGUGCGAAAGCGUGGGGAGCAAACAGGAUUAGAUACCCUGGUAGUCCACGCCGUAAACGAUGUCGAUUUGGAGGUUGUGCCCUUGAGGCGUGGCUUCCGGAGCUAACGCGUUAAAUCGACCGCCUGGGGAGUACGGCCGCAAGGUUAAAACUCAAAUGAAUUGACGGGGCCCGCACAAGCGGUGGAGCAUGUGGUUUAAUUCGAUGCAACGCGAAGAACCUUACCUGGUCUUGACAUCCACAGAACUUAGCAGAGAUGCUUUGGUGCCUUCGGGAACUGUGAGACAGGUGCUGCAUGGCUGUCGUCAGCUCGUGUUGUGAAAUGUUGGGUUAAGUCCCGCAACGAGCGCAACCCUUAUCCUUUGUUGCCAGCGGUUCGGCCGGGAACUCAAAGGAGACUGCCAGUGAUAAACUGGAGGAAGGUGGGGAUGACGUCAAGUCAUCAUGGCCCUUACGACCAGGGCUACACACGUGCUACAAUGGCAUAUACAAAGAGAAGCGACCUCGCGAGAGCAAGCGGACCUCAUAAAGUAUGUCGUAGUCCGGAUUGGAGUCUGCAACUCGACUCCAUGAAGUCGGAAUCGCUAGUAAUCGUAGAUCAGAAUGCUACGGUGAAUACGUUCCCGGGCCUUGUACACACCGCCCGUCACACCAUGGGAGUGGGUUGCAAAAGAAGUAGGUAGCUUAACCUUCGGGAGGGCGCUUACCACUUUGUGAUUCAUGACUGGGGUGAAGUCGUAACAAGGUAACCGUAGGGGAACCUGCGGUUGGAUCACCU